AUUGAACGCUGGCGGCAUGCUUUACACAUGCAAGUCGAACGGUAACAGGGAGCUUGCUCCGCUGACGAGUGGCGAACGGGUGAGUAAUGCAUCGGAACAUGCCCAGUCAUGGGGGAUAACUACGCGAAAGCGUAGCUAAUACCGCAUACGCCCUGAGGGGGAAAGUGGGGGAUCUUAGGACCUCACGUGAUUGGAGUGGCCGAUGUCAGAUUAGCUAGUUGGUGAGGUAAAGGCUCACCAAGGCGACGAUCUGUAGCGGGUCUGAGAGGAUGAUCCGCCACACUGGGACUGAGACACGGCCCAGACUCCUACGGGAGGCAGCAGUGGGGAAUAUUGGACAAUGGGCGAAAGCCUGAUCCAGCAAUGCCGCGUGUGUGAAGAAGGCCUGAGGGUUGUAAAGCACUUUCAAUCGUGAGAAAAGUUGCAGGCUAAUACCCUGUGACCUUGACGUUAACGAUACAAGAAGCACCGGCUAACUCCG
rnacentral:rRNA from 1 species